rnacentral:rRNA from 1 species
AAAUUGAAGAGUUUGAUCAUGGCUCAGAUUGAACGCUGGCGGCAGGCCUAACACAUGCAAGUCGAGCGGAAACGAGUUAUCUGAACCUUCGGGGAACGAUAACGGCGUCGAGCGGCGGACGGGUGAGUAAUGCCUAGGAAAUUGCCCUGAUGUGGGGGAUAACCAUUGGAAACGAUGGCUAAUACCGCAUGAUGCCUACGGGCCAAAGAGGGGGACCUUCGGGCCUCUCGCGUCAGGAUAUGCCUAGGUGGGAUUAGCUAGUUGGUGAGGUAAGGGCUCACCAAGGCGACGAUCCCUAGCUGGUCUGAGAGGAUGAUCAGCCACACUGGAACUGAGACACGGUCCAGACUCCUACGGGAGGCAGCAGUGGGGAAUAUUGCACAAUGGGCGCAAGCCUGAUGCAGCCAUGCCGCGU